UACGUAGGGUGCAAGCGUUGUCCGGAAUUAUUGGGCGUAAAGAGCUCGUAGGCGGUCUGUCGCGUCGGCUGUGAAAACCUGGGGCUCAACUCCGGGCCUGCAGCCGAUACGGGCUGACUAGAAUUCGGUAGGGGAGACUGGAAUUCCUGGUGUAGCGGUGAAAUGCGCAGAUAUCAGGAGGAACACCGAUGGCGAAGGCAGGUCUCUGGGCCACUACUGACGCUGAGAAGCGAAAGCAUGGGGAGCGAACAGG
rnacentral:rRNA from 1 species